GACAGAGGAGGCAAGCGUUGUCCGGACUUACUGGGCGUAAAGCGUCCGCAGGUGGUGCGGCAAGUGGGGUGUGAAAGCUGGUGGCUUAACCGCCAGAGGCCAUUCCAAACUGCCACACUGGAGCCGGGCAGAGGGUGACGGAAUUGCCGGUGUAGUGGUGAAAUGCGUAGAGAUCGGCAGGAAGACCAAGGGGGAAGCCAGUCACCUGGGCCCGCGCUGACGCUGAGGGACGAGAGCGUGGGGAGCGAACCGG
rnacentral:misc_RNA from 1 species